CUAUGCGCCUUGCCAGCCCGCUCAGUCAGAGUUUGAUCCUGGCUCAGGAUGAACGCUAGCGAUAGGCUUAACACAUGCAAGUCGAGGGGCAGCACGAGGUAGCUUGCUAUCUGGGUGGCGACCGGCGCACGGGUGCGUAACGCGUAUGCAACUUGCCCUAUACAGGAGGAUAACCCGUCGAAAGACGGACUAAUACUGCGUAUGCUCACAGCUUGGCAUCAAGUGGUGAGGAAAGAAAUUCGGUAUAGGAUAGGCAUGCGUCCCAUUAGCUUGUUGGUGAGUAACGGCUCACCAAGGCAACGAUGGGUAGGGGAACUGAGAGGUUUAUCCCCACACUGGUACUGAGACACGGACCAG
rnacentral:rRNA from 1 species